UGGGGUUAGGCAGCCACUCCUUUCUGCUGCACCUCCCUUAUUCCUUCUCCCCUCAUCUUGUUCUUUCUGCCCUUCCAAGGACCAGGAGUGGUCCCACAGACGUGUCCCUAGUGAUGAUCCCUUUCCAGAUGUUUCCUCCUGCUUGCUCCUGGCAGCUGCUCUUCCCCAAGCACACGUGGGCCUGGCAGUGGGGGCUGCUUACUGACACCCUCCAUGGGACACCCCACAGCCUCACUCAGACCUCCUAACUUACAAACCAAACCUCACUGACAACAAAACUCCAGAAGCCAGGUUGUUGUGAUUUCAGAAAUCACACUGUGAGCCCUUCUUUUGAACCAGCAAAAUAAGGAAAGGAAACGGCGAGAGGCCAAAACACGCAUUGCCCAGGCAUCUCCGAAAGCUGCAGCAGCUGGGCUGCUAACACACACAGCUGACAUCAGCCAGGCUGGCUUUUUGCAAGCAACUCAUUCUGUUUUUUCCAGACAAAAUCAGUUUUAUCUUCAAAAUCCAGUUAUCCAGAUCACUGUCCUGACUGGAUUUCCUACCUGGGACAGGCACCAGAGGGCUAGAUGUGGGGAAACCAAGAAAAUUUCUGCAUACGACUAUCAAGGUGCAGGACUUCACACUUCCUUCUCCUGAAGAUCAUGAGGCUCCUGUUGGCCCAUUCAUCCAGUUUGCUGCGGUCCCUCUGAGAGGCAGUCCCUACUCUCCUGUGUCAAAUUAUCCCCAAGGUAUGGAGUCAUCCUGUUUUCCAGCUUCAGACACCAUUCAGAAGGUCAUGGAACACUAACUGACAAGUGAGCAAACAAAGUUAAUUCACCUACAAACAUCCUGAUGAUAUAGUCACUCCCAUCACCCAGAUCUCUGAUAAAGACUGGCCCCACUGUCCACCCUGAAAAACACAAUUCCUGAUUAGCCACCAGUUAGACGGACAUCGAAGCUGCAGCCAUGAUCCUCUCAGACUGGUGGUCCCACCUUUCAACCACUGUGCAGGUCAUCCAUUCAAUCCAUACCUUCCCAGCUAGCCACAAGAAUGCUACCAGCCUAUGCUGAAAGCCUUGCUGAAGUCAGUUAAAUGAAAUCUGCUGCUGUCAUUCACAGAGGCAGCUGUUUUGUUAUAGAAGACAAGAAUCAAGUCAGUUAAACUUGGUUUACCUGUGGUAUACCCAAGGUGGAUGUUCCCUGUUACUUUACUGCAUUUUGUGCAUUUGGCUUACCACAGCCUACCAAACAUGACAGAAAACAGCUUCUCAAAGACAUAGUCUGGCUCCCUCAGAUCUCUGAUACAUUCCACCCAGCUCCAUGGAUUUGUGGAGAGCACUGCUUAGACUCAAUCCCUUCAAAUGAUAUCACCAAGCCCUACAGUCAUCUUUAAUCUGCUGAAGUAUUAUUAUCACAAUCUGAGAGAGUAGCAAAGUCUGAUGCUUGGCCAGGUCUUAGCAACCUUUGUGAUCCAGUCCUUCAGGAAGCAGCAAACUUUGGAAGGCAAGUCUGGUCAGUACAUGGAUGUCUCCACUUCCUAUACCAGGGAGUCUUCAAUACCAGUUACCCAUUGCUUCCUCUUAGUGGCACUGGCUAAGAGUAGUUGAUCAGGCACGCCUGGUCUAAACACCUCUCUUGCCAGAACUCACUCCUCCUUUAUUGUUUCCAGGUCCAUAUGUUUUAUUAAAUCUACAUUAUUACUAUUAUUAUUAUUAGCUUCAUAUAUUUGUGUUACUGAGCACAACACCAAGUAUGGGUAUAUUUUUCCAUUAACUUACCUGAAAGGAACUGCUCAAGGCUGGAAACACAACUUCCUAACACUGAUGCCUAAGACUUAGGCUUCUCAAAGUGAAAAUGUAUGAUAUAAGCAGCAUAAAGCCAGCUGCUUAUGAACAUAGCAAAAAAAGAAAGCAAGAUACUCCUUAAAUUGAAAGAAAAAGAAGGAAAAAAUCUAUACACACAUUAAACUAAAAAUACAUACACAGAAUGCCCCACAGUACCAGAGAUGUCAAUUACUUGUCCAUAUCGUGAUGCAUAUGGUUAAUAUUGAGUGUGUGCACAAACCUUUACUGCCAGACUUCACAGAUCUCGCUGCGGUCAGGAGCACAGCCAAAGCCAUAAAUGUAACACCCGAUUUUCAGGGGAGAUGGGAAUGUGGAAAAGAGUUUGGGAAAUUCUCCUAUGAGGAUGCCUUUGAACUGCUCCAGAUAACCAGAGAACAUUUCCUAUAGCCUCCAGGCAUUAGGAUGUGGCACAAGGGCAUUCCUUCAUCUCCAGGUCAACCAAGCGAGGCCAAGGCUGCUAAGCCCAUCCCUUUCCUUCAGACAUACAUGGGAGGAAACUCCCCCUUCUGCCACUGGACUACACAAGAGAGGGGAGGGAAAGAGAAGAAAGGAAAAAAAACUACAGUAUUCUGUCCACCAUUUUAGAGAGAGAAAAGGGAUUCCUCAGCUGCUUUUCCUAUCUGACAUCUAAAUGGAAAAGGCAAGAGAUCAGGCUGUUUCCUUACUGCAUUAGAUGGGAGAGGAAGCAGGAUAGGAAGAAAGCAGGAAGCAGCCAACAAAAGGAAGCGAUCAGAUGCCCUCUGCCAGCUUCCAUUUCACUUGACUAGCACUCUGACUAGACAAAAGCUGAAAAAGAUGCAUUUUAUAGCCACUCUACAAAAGAAUAAUCAGGGUCCAGAGAGACCAAGCAGCUCUUCCAAGAUCAAGUCAGCAGUCCAUGCCAGACCUCUGAACCAAAUCCAAGUGUCUAGUCCAGUCCUUAACGACAAACAUAUCCCUGGGCCCAUUAAUGGCACUUGAAAAAGGACAACACAAUUAAAUACUUUCUCAUUAGUAAAUAAAAAAGUCAAAAAAUGGCAGCCAAUGUUGUGUGAUUACCAAGAGGGUUUCUCACAAUUAAACUGGACACUGCUGUUUGAAUCGCUAGACCCUGCAGAAACUACUUCAUUCAGCUUGAGGAUGCAAGAAGAGACAGAAUUUUCAAAGCUUUUGCAUCAAACCUGAUGAAGUCUUUUUACCUGACUCCCAGGGCCCCAUCAAAGAUUCUGUGGUUGCCCGGUUGUUAAAAUCCAGGAGGAUGACCAAGGGAACAUAUUGGCAUGUAAACAGCAUCUUGGACAGAAUGCAAGAGCACAGUGUCAUGAGAGAGAGAGACUGGAAAACCCUGUCUGUGGCAACUUCUGACAAAGCUAGUUUCCAAAAAUGCUUCUAUCAAGGGCCAAAAGCACUGCUGGAAAGCAUCUUCCUGGAGGAGUCAAUCUUUCCUGGACUACCCAGUGCAUUUCUCAUCUACUGAAGUGAAUUUCAAGGUGCUUACCUUCUGCCUAGGGAUCAUGUGGGAAUCAAACACUGCUAUGCCAGCCCAUGUGCCCUAGCUUGCCAAGCACAGUUCAAACAUCAAACUCCAUCAUGGACUGAGACAGUAGUGCAAGCAAGGAGACAGAAAAAGAGCAAGCAAGAAAGAGAACUGGAUUUUCCCACUUGAUGUUAGGAUGCUAAUUUUGCACAGGUGAAGCUGAAGAUUCUGGUCUCCAACACAUAGUACCUUUACACUACAGAAAGCAACCUCUGGACUAGAGCAAAAUUCAGGCAGGAAAUCCUACCACUUCUUCCUUCUAGGAGAACACCCUUGAGCUCACGAAGCACUUGCAGAGUUGAAGAAAGGCAUCCAGCAGCACCUCUGAGGGGGUCAUCUCAACCCAGGCAGAAAACUGUUUCAGAUACUACAAAAUUUUUGUGUUUCACGUUCUGAAUGGACCCUGAGAGUCCCCGCUCAGGAGCCUCCCCACGUGCUGGAUGACUGUACAGAACUUGACGAAUUCGUCUUUUUCCCGACCAAAGCACCCAACACUUUUCACAAAAUAAAAGCUCUUACAAACCAAAGGUUUGCACCUUUGGGCACUGAGAAAUGCCUAUCAAGCCAGGAACCAGAAGGGAGAGUUUCUGCUGCAAAAGCCCUUUGCCUUGCUGACUGCAGAACGCACACAACUGAGGGUUUAAAGUCCUGGCACCGGCCUGGUAAACUUCCAGGAUGGGCCAUACUGAUUUCUAAGGUCUUUCUCAAGAUGAAGUAUUUCUUUGUGUGUGUUUGCUGUGAGAAUCAAACAUCUGAGUUAGGAACUAAGCAGCUAUAUAUGGAAAUGUAUCAGGAUUUUGAUGUGUAACAAUGUUGGGACAGAGUGCAACAGAGCCAACACAGAAUUAACAAAUUAAUUUUAAUCACAGCCUGUAUCUAGGGAUUCAAAGUAAGCUCUGAAUUAAAUUUAUUUGAGUAAUUUGACAGAAAAUGUAAAAUAUGAGAUGCCCAUUUACCCAGAAGAUCACUCAAACAUUCCCCAGAUACUUCUGAAAAUGGACCUUUUCCAUUAUAAAGUCAAAUUUUAAGAAAUAUAGCACACGACGAAUGAGCACAGUCCUUGACUCAUCACCACAACACUAGCAGGCUUGCAUUUUUCUGGCUCUGACAGAGUAACUGUCCAUGAAUGGGGAUAAAACUUUUGAUAAGAACCCCUUCUGACACUAAAAAGGCACAUUCACUUGGUUUUCUUGCUAGAAACAUUUCACUGUUUUCCGGAACACCAACUGCACUCACCUGCCUAACCCAUGAAUUAUUCUUGGCUACUCACAGCAAGCCUACGGGUCAAAAGUCUUACACAUCCCCCUA